UACUGAUGGACACUCCGGACGACGAG
rnacentral:piRNA from 1 species